rnacentral:rRNA from 1 species
UACGUAGGUGGCAAGCGUUGUCCGGAUUUACUGGGUGUAAAGGGCGUGUAGGCGGGUUAGAAAGUCAGAUGUGAAAUACCGAUGCUUAACAUCGGGGCUGCAUUUGAAACUUCUAAUCUUGAGUGCAGGAGAGGAAAGCGGAAUUCCUAGUGUAGCGGUGAAAUGCGUAGAUAUUAGGAGGAACACCAGUGGCGAAGGCGGCUUUCUGGACUGUAACUGACGCUGAGGCGCGAAAGCGUGGGUAGCAAACAGGAUUAGAUACCCUGGUAGUCCACGCUGUAAACGAUGAAUACUAGGUGUAGGGGGUAUCGACCCCCCCUGUGCCGCAGUUAACACAAUAAGUAUUCCACCUGGGGAGUACGAUCGCAAGAUUGAA